rnacentral:rRNA from 1 species
AUUGAACGCUGGCGGCAGGCCUAACACAUGCAAGUCGAACGAGUGGCGGACGGGUGAGUUAUGCUUGGGAAUCUCGCUUAUGGAGGGGGAUAACUUCGGGAAACUGUAGCUAAUACCGCGUAACCUCGGCUGAGCACAUGUGGGAUUAGGUAGUUGGUGGGGAAAAGGCUCACCAAGCGGAAGACCUCUAGGUGGUCUGAGAGGAUGACCAGCCACACGGGUACUGAGACACGGUCCAGACUCCUAAGGGAGGCAGCAGUGGGGAAUAUUGCGCAAUGGGCUGAAGCUGGUGCAGCCGUGCCGCGUGAAUGAAGAAGGCCUGCGGGUUGUAAAGUGCUUUCAGUAGCGGGGCGUUAACGACAGAAGAAGCACCGGCUAACUCCGUGCCAGCCGCCGCGGUAAUAC